rnacentral:rRNA from 1 species
GCAAGGAAUUUUGCGCAAUGGGCGAAAGCCUGACGCAGCGACGCCGCGUGGGGGAUGAAGGCUUUCGAGUUGUAAACCCCUUUUCCUGAGGAAGAAUACUGACGGUACUCGGGGAAUAAGUCUUGGCUAACUACGUGCCAGCAGCCGCGGUAAUACGUAGGAGGCAAACGUUAUUCGGAUUUACUGGGCGUAAAGCGGGUGUAGACGGCUGCUUAAGUCGGUUGUGAAAUCUCCUGACUUAAUUGGGAGAAGUCAAUCGAUACUGAGUAGCUAGAGGGCAGCAGAAGAAAGUGGAAUUCCCGGUGUAGCGGUGAUAUGCGUAGAUAUCGGGAGGAACACCAGUGGCGAAGGCGGCUUUCUAGGCUGUUCCUGACGUUGAUACCCAAAAGCGUGGGGAGCGAAACGGAUUAGAUACCCUAGUAGUCC